CUGUUUAUACACCUUCACCAAUUGGCCCUCUCAUGUGACAGGUAUUUCAUUCAGAACUGGACUUUAUCUACCAGGGGAUUUAUUUGCUGAAAUAUGCUUUGCUCCCCAGCUAGAGAUAUAAGCCUCGUGAGCAGCCAAGGCAGCACUUCACAGCAAGGACAGAGGGAAGAUGACUUGUAAACCCCCAAGUUCACAGUAAGAGACAAUCCCUUCUCCAGAACAGCAAGAUUAUGAGACAUGCAGUGAGAACAACCAGGAGGACACUAAGCACAGCACCAACAGCCUGGCUUCUCCUUGAAAGACCUUUAUGUAUUUGGGUCUCCUCAUCUGUCUGGUGCUGAUUGUUUCCUGGAUCACUGGUUGAUCUAGCAAUGUAAAUUGAAAAGAGAAGAUCUAUUGGUAAAUUUUGUUAAACUGGAUUAGAAACAGCAGAUUAGAAGACAUGCCACACCAUCUUGUCAUUCCAACAUAACAGCUGUAUGAACUGAAUUUAGGGGAUUUCAUCUAAGUAAAAACAACUUGAAAAACACAAAUAUAUGUACUGUGCCUA